rnacentral:lncRNA from 1 species
AUGGGAUUGAGCCGCCCUCUCUCUCCCUCUUCUGUGCCUGCUCUGCCCCACCCUGUGGUUGUGAGUGUGUGUGUGUGUGUUUUAUUCCAAUACCUUGCUGGGAACAAGGGAGACACACAACAAGCCCCAUGCCUCACUCUAGCUGUGGAGCAUCCGUGCUGGGCUGCAUGGGGACUGGCCGGAGGGGGCGGGCCAGGGGAGGGGGUAGGUAGAGCUUCGGGAGGAGAUGAGGUGAAAGUGACUGAUGCUGCCCAGCAGGCCGUGGAAGAGGCAGGGGAUGCGUCAGUGUUGCCCGGAGCUGGCAGAGGAGUGAAUGAGCGGAGGAGACGCACGCUCUCCACUCCAAGUGUUCACCCCAAGAUGGCGGCGGCUCAGGGACCUGUGGACGCCUCCUCCCCAGAACAGAUGUCAUGGAGGAUGACCAGCCAUCCCAUACACACAGCCGUGGAAGGCGUGUCCCAUAGCCUGCAUCCUGCUGAGCCUGGGGAAGCUUGGGCACGGGGUGAGGCAAUCCCCACCCCGGACACCACCCAUGAGGCCCAUGAGGACAAGUCAGAGAAUGGUGCUAUGCCCAACGAGGCCAUCAAGGACCACAGCCUCCAACGGGGCAACUGGGGCAACCAGAUCGAGUUUGUACUGACGAGCGUGGGCUAUGCUGUGGGCCUGGGCAAUGUCUGGCGCUUCCCAUACCUCUGCUAUCGCAACGGGGGAGGAGCCUUCCUGAUCCCCUACUUCAUCAUGGUCACCUUCUGUGGGAUCCCUGUCUUCUUCAUGGAACUCUCCUUCGGCCAGUUUGCAAGUCAGGGCUGCCUGGGGGUCUGGAGGAUCAGCCCCAUGUUCAAAGGUGUGGGCUACGGCAUGAUCGUGGUGUCCACGUACAUCGGCAUAUACUACAACAUGGUGGUCAGCAUCGCCUUCUACUACUUCUUCUCGUCCCUGACGUCUGUGCUGCCCUGGACCUACUGCGAUAACCCUUGGAACACGCCCGACUGUGUGAGCGUGUUGGAUAACCCCAACAUCACUAAAAGCGUGCAGCCUCCUGCCCUGCUUGGCAACGUCUCUCAGGCACUCAACCUUACCCUCCAGAGGACAAGCCCCAGCGAGGAGUACUGGAAGUUCUACGUGCUGAAGAUGUCAGAUGACAUUGGAAACUUCGGGGAGGUGCAGGUGCACCUCCUCAGCUGCCUCUUUGUCUCCUGGGUGGUCGUCUUCCUCUGCCUCAUGCAAGGGAUCAGGACUUCAGGGAAAGUGGUGUACUUCACGGCCACAUUCCCCUACGUGGUGCUGACCAUCCUGUUCUUCCGUGGCGUGACCCUGGAAGGAGCCUCCACGGGCAUCAAGUACUACCUGACGCCACAGUGGGACAAGAUCCUGGAGGCCAAGGUCUGGGGGGACGCCGCCUCCCAGAUCUUCUACUCGCUGGGCUGUGCGUGGGGCGGGCUCAUCACCAUGGCUUCCUACAACAAGUUCCACAACAACUGUUACCGAGACAGUGUCGUCAUCAGCAUCACUAACUGUGCCACCAGCAUCUAUGCCGGCUUCGUCAUCUUCUCCAUCCUGGGCUUCAUGGCCAAUCACCUGGGUGAAGACGUGUCCAGUGUGGCAGAACACGGCCCAGGCCUGGCCUUCGUGGCGUACCCAGAGGCCCUCACACUGCUGCCCAUCGCCCCACUCUGGUCCCUGCUCUUCUUCUUCAUGCUCAUCUUGAUGGGGCUGGGCACUCAGUUUUGCCUCCUAGAGACGCUGGUCACAGCCCUUGUGGAUGAGGUCGGGAACGAGUGGAUCCUACAGCGAAAGAGUUAUGUGACCUUGGGCAUAGCUGUGGCUGGCUUCCUUCUGGGUAUUCCCCUCACCAGCCAGGCAGGCAUCUACUGGCUGCUGCUGAUGGACAACUACGCGGCCAGCUUCUCCCUGGUCAUCAUCUCCUGUAUCAUGUGUGUGUGCAUCAUGUACAUUUACGGGCACCAGAACUACUUCCAGGACGUCCAGAUGAUGCUGGGGUUCCCACCGCCCCUCUUCUUCCAGAUCUGCUGGCGCGUAAUCUCACCAGCUAUCAUCUUUUUGAUUCUCAUCUUCCUGGUGAUCCAGUACGAGACAAUCACCUACAACGAAUACCAGUAUCCAAGCUGGGCCGAGGCCAUUGGCUUCCUUAUGGCUCUGUCCUCUGUUAUUUGCAUUCCAUUCUACGCCCUGUUCUACUUCCGGAUAACAGAUGGGGACACCUUCCUCCAGCGUUUGAAAAACUCAACAAAGCCAAGCGGAGACUGGGGUCCCGCCCUCCUGGAGCACCGAACAGGGCGCUACGCCCCCACCAUUCCACCCUCCCCUGAAGAUGGGCUUGAGUUCCAGCCGCUGGACCCAGACAAGGCCCAGAUUCCCAUGGUGGGCAGUAAUGACCCCAUCCGUCUGCAGGACUCCCAGAUGUGA